rnacentral:lncRNA from 1 species
AAACUCCUCGGCUCCCGGCGCCGCCGCCACCGCCGUGGUCCCCACUCGAAGCGCACGCCGCCUCGGCUCGCUGGCUCCAGGGAGUCGUCUCGGCGGGACAGGAAUAGAGCGCAGGGAGCUCGGGAGGAAGGCUGCGCGCAAGCGAGGGACGGAGAGCCAUCGGCCGCCAGGACAGGGCCGGAGGGACGAGGCGACACGCGCGCGACGCAGGACAAAUCGGAGCUUGGGAAAUCUCCCCGUCCCCCAAGCUUCAGAGGGGGGUAAAAUCAGAAAAUGUGUGUGAUGGUGGGAGAGAGAUCCGGGCGCGGCGACUCCUCGCAGCGCAUCCGGCUCCCGCACCCACCCGUGGAUCUGGCCACGGCUGUUGCGGACUCGUCUCGGGAAAGCGGAGGCCGAGCGCGCGUAGGGGUGCGUGUCUGGCUGGGGGUGCGCAGUGGCGGAAACAAGACAGGAGGCGGCUUGGGAAAAAGUGGAGCAGAAAUGGAAAAAUACAAACUCACCCGCUGCAAAUGGUCUCUCGGUGCAAACUAAGGUGUUUUCGGGCCUUUCCCCGCGCGCGCCCACUCCCGCCCGCGCGCGCACCCCGCGCACACACUCACUCGCGCACACACGCGCGCACACACGCACUCCCGGGCGAGGGCCGGGCCGCCGCGAGUACAGCGUGCAACCGCCACACAAUAAAUAACAAUAGAUUCCUCCGCUCCGGACUAGCUUCCCGGAGCCCAGCCAGCGCCGGUGGCGGCGGCGGCGGCGGCAGAGGCGCGGGCAGCACCGGCCCGGGGGCGCACCCCGGCCCGACCCUCUACCUCCCGCAGGGGUCCCCUCUCCGCUUCACGCACCCCGCUGGGCACUCCAGCGGCCCCCCGAGCGGGAGCGGCUCCCUCUUUGCCGUUCGCCGGGGCGCUGGCGCCCACCCCCCUCCUCCCUCCCCCCUCCCCCCCGACAUCCCGGAACAAAUAAAUAAAUAAGGCGCGCGAGAGAGGCCAACACGUCGCGGAGGGAGAUGUUGUUAUUUUUUGCUGUUGUGCGUCCCUGACGUCACAUCCACCUGCUGGGUAAACAACCGGGCUCCCAGAAAAAAAAAAUCGCAAUUGCCAAAGAAUGGGGGGGGGGGUUGGGGGGAGGGAUCCAGGGAGGGGGAAGUGAGGGGCGUCCAGGCAGGAUUGGAAAGAGGAGAGGGAGGCAGAGCCCCGCGGACCAGAGAGAGGAAGGGAACGCCAGAGCAGUCCCUGGCAACAGAGGGAUCUGGCAGGAAAGACCUGGAAAAUAAGGGGCAGGGGGGCGGAGGGGGAGAUUCCUCAGGAGAUGGGAAAUGGGGGGCCCAUUCAGACAGCGGAAAAAACGAGAAGGGAGAGUGUUAACUAGGGACGAAGAUGGGAAUGCGAUGGCUAUUUGCUUGGAUUCUGAGCUAAAAAUAUGAAAGGGAGGGGAGAGGACAGGCUAGAAUGUGAGUUUCCUCCAGUUAAAAGUGAAAGUGUUUUGCCAUCAGUGACAGUUGAAGGAGAGCGGGGUGGGAGGUGGUGUUUUCAACCCCCUUUCUCCCUCUCUCCCGUCCUCCCUCGGUCUCUCCUCUUUCUUUCUGCACUUUGUCCAAUGAAAGAAGGCGAGUUCGGGAGGUGAAAGUUCAGCAGAAGGACAAACCCCUGUUUGCAAGGAAACAGAAACCCCGCCAGCCAGCGAGGGGUUUUCUCCCCUGUUUCUCGGAAUCAGGAGAGUGUGAAUGUGGGACGAGCUUCUGCCCCCUUGUCAGAGCCACUGCAGGAAUGUGCAAUCGAGUCCACUUUGGGGGAAGGUGGCUGCAUCAGGAACUGUGUUCUUGCCACGACUCCUCUUAGGAAAACGCCUGGGGGCUAGCAUGUCAGUCCGUUGUUUAACACAAAUUACCUGCUCUCCCAGUGAUCAGUCACGUGCAAAAAGCUUUGUCCAAUUCUUUGAAAAGGUGAGAUUUUUUUUUUUCUUUUUGCGGUUUUUGAAGUUUGGUUGAAUUUAGAAAUUCGAAGGAAUAAACUAAGAGCCUGAAUUAAAUGUUUUGAAAUAUACAUACAUAAAACAAAAGACACUAGUAUUUCUUUCACUUUUAUCAAUACGCAUAGAGAAGGAAGCAGAGUAUGUGUUUCCAAAACGUGACUUGGAAAGCUGUAAGACCUCUAUGUCUUGUUGUUGUUGUUGUUGUUGUUGUUAACAGAAGUAAAUUUUUUCAGACCCACCACCACAGAAGUGGCCAGACUCCCAAACCAGCAUUUCCAGCUACUGGCUGGCUGGUGUACACCAGGCCAAUUCUUUAUGAGAAUAUAUUAAAAGUCACCCCUGUGGAUUCCUACAAAGUACUUCCCCUUGCGGGGAGGGGAGAGGCUUACUGUCCCUUUGGUCUUGAGACCAGCACAGUUGUAGAUAAUAUCCUGAAAAGGUUAUUAUUAAAUUCUUUCGCGUAAUGCCCCUUUACAAAUAUUGUUAAACAUUAAUUUACAGAAGAACUUAAAUCUUAAUUUCAAGGGUGGCAUAAGACUAUCGCUUUGAAAUUGUAUCUUUCGCAAGUUAAAAAAAAAAAAUAACAAAGCCAUUCGCUGAUGCUACAGAAUAAAAGAAAGGGAGGCUGCUAAGGUAAUUUCAGCCUGGUAGAAUUCACAUUGCAUGCAUGCUGCAUAAAGUUCCAUGCUAUCCAGAUAAGACUAUUCACUGAAUCUUUUAGACUAGAAUCUAGACCAAUAAAAUGCAUUUUAGUUUGUAUGGAAUGUCCUAGCUUCCUAGAGGCUAGGGUUCGACGUCUUGUUUGUCAAGACAUAAAGGGAUUAAUGACAUACCCACUGUGUGCUAGACCACAGAGUGGGCACAGAGGGAUGAAAAAAUAAAAAUUCCUGCCCUUGAGGAGCUCACAGUCUAAGCUGUCAAUAAUAACAUCUAACAUUUAUUAAAUACUAUGAUCUAGGCACUGAACUAAAAGCUUUAUGUCAACUCAGUUAAUACUGCCAACAACUCUUUGACAUCACUGGAAAUUCCAUAUGCUGAAUUCACACGGAAUUAAGUGGAAAUCUACAAAGUAGCCAGUCUACUGGUUCUGUAGUGGUCAACCUAUUAAAAAUGGUUUUUAAUUUCUAAAGUACUUUAUGCCAAAUAUAACAUGUUUAUGGUAUAUGCCUGACUGUAGAAUUAUAACUCAGGGGAAUAACGACUUAUUUAAAUGUAACAGAUCUAUUCAUAGUCUGUAAAGAACAAUUCAUCCUCUGAUCUUGUUUUUCAGAUUAAGCAGUGUGUUUAUUAAAAAUUAUUAUCAUCGCAAUACUAAAAAGAUCUUUAGAUUGCUGCUAAUCUGAUUCUGCAUUUUAACUGCCUUAAAUUCUACAUUCACUUGCAAGUGGGGGCCACAGUCAGGUUGGCAACAAGUUUUGCAGACAAAAGGAAAUCCUGGUUGUAAAUCCCAUGAUAUAUUGUACUCAAUUUUGUAUGAUACUGUCUAAUGUGCUGUGCUGCCUUAUUAAAGAACUCGAUGUCCAUUUGGUUUACAUUAGAGGGAAACUUAACUGCAGCUUAACAUAUUGUUCAUUUUCAACACUGUCACGUUACAUUCGUGGGGGGCAGAUUUUAAUUUCUUUAUCAGUAAUCAACUGGAAGUUUCUUUUUGUUAAAUUAAAGCAAGAAAGGUUUUAAAAUAAAGGGCAUGGGGGUAGGACGCCACCUUUUGGUGAUAAAACAAAUAGAAAUCCCUUCUGAAAACAGAUGUUCCUGACAUAAUUUUAUUUUUAAUUACACCAAGGCAAAGGUGCUUGUCCCCAUUUCGUUAUAUUUUAAGUAACAGGAGAAAAAAAAAACCAAUGUAAAUGCAAAAUUAGCAAAUUAUAGUUAACUGCAGCCAAAAUUUUCCCAAACGUAUCAGAAUAUGUUAGUCCCCUGUCACAUUACUGUUGAUUGUAUACACCAAACAUGAGCUUCAUUCACCAAAUACCAUGUCACUAAAUAUAUGUACAUUUGGGGAACAGAAACUGGAGUGGACAUUUACCACCUGACGACGUACCUGAAUGCUCUUGUAAGUUUUGAGUUGAACAAAAACUAAAACCACUUAAUUUAGUGUUUCUUUAACCACAGUUACUGGUGUCCUGAUUUUUGCCAUAUCUAUAUGACAUAACAGUUCCCGAAUAAUUAAUAUACCAUACUCAUUGGAGGCCACUUAUUAUGGUAAUUGUAGCAAACAUUUUCAUUUAAAUCAACCUUCUUUUAAUUUUUUUCUAUUACUGCCUUAAAUGGGAAAUCAGUAUCACCCACCAUAAAUUAAAAACAAGCACAGUAAAAACAAAGUCACUGAUUUCUCUUUGAGGGUCAAAACAAAAAUUAAAAAUGAUUUUUGAAAAAAGGAGGGAGAGUGGCAAAUGUUGAGAAGGGUUAAGGACAAGAGUAUCAAUGGAAAUUUUUGAAUUUUUGUUUUUUCUCUCUCUUUUUUUCUGUUUUUUUUUUUUUUUUUUUUUUAACAACCAGAAGGAUUUAAAGUGAUCGGAAAGGAAUACAGUUCUCAAUGUGUGAUUCAGUGUUAUGCCAUCCUAGUGCCAAGGUUCCUACACUUUAAAAAACAUGGGCAUAACUAAGAAUAUCGCAUUACAGAUGAGGAAUCUAAGGCCCAGGGAUUUCAUUUGCCCUCCAAGGCAAAAUAAAUUUGGUUACUGGUUGGACAAGGAUUAGAAUCCAGGUGUCCUGACUUUGUGGGUUUCCAUCUCACUCUUUCCACUAAAGUGACCAAUCCUCAGACUUAAGUGGUUUGUCUAGCUUCUCAGAAACAGCUAACCUACAGACCCCUUUACAGAUCUGGGAGAAACUGAGGCCACAGAGGGUCAAGAACAAGUUCAACCCCCUGCUCACCGUCCUUUCUCUCCACCCUCUCUCCAUAGAUGUGACAGACAUCCAGGUGGGGGUCAACACAGCAAAGAAAGAAGGGAGGGUUGAGAAGAGAAAAGUGGAUUCAGAGAGGGGAGGUUAGUAAGCGUGGGCAGACCAUUCUCUAAAUGAAAGCUUAAACUCAGUUGCCUUCCAAGAAGAUAAAAAUGGCUAAUGAAAAUCAUGUGCUUCACAGUAAGUGGUAAGAGGAGCCCAUCCUCUGUGUCCUCAUGUCCCUAUAUGUCCACACCGGAAAUCAGCAGGGGAUCUCUUGUUUUAAAGUAUACAAUAUUAACAGGCACACUCUGAGACAAAACCACAUUUGAUAAUUUGAGUGGGUGGAAAAGCUAGUCAGGGAACGGGGAAUGACCCUAGCUUAAAAAGUGUUUUCCCCCACAACAAAACUUAAGAGGCUCAGAGUUAAAUCUAGAAACAAUAGUGCUUUUUCUGUUUUUCUAACUGGAGAGUGAGACCUUAGUUACCAAGACUGCACUUGCUGCUUUUUUUUAAAGUAUGCAGUUAUAUAAACAUAAAUAAAUAUGGCCUGCAAAUAUUUUUAUGUUUUUCUAAAUUGGUGAUUGUGAAAAGAGGUUGUGCAUGACUGUACUGUAUGAACAUGGGUCUCAGUGGACUGUAAUCCUCAUAAACUACAAGGUACGGUGAAGCAUUUGGCCAAGUAUCAUCAAUCCAAAAAGCUGUUCUAAUGCCCUGAGCAUUCCCAGUGCAACGUUGGUACCUUGGAAACAUGUAAAAGGAGUAUGGGUGGCUCAACCCCAUCUGCUACAGGUACUAGAACAAUCUACAGCCUUACUAUGCAAAAUGAGAUGUGCUGACCUGCAGAGCACCACCUCCAGGUUAUGUCAAAAAUGCAGAAUGUCAGGCCCUACCUCAGACCUAGUGAAUCAAAUAUCUGUAUUUUAAAAAAAUCACCCAGCCAAGUCUCACACACAUUCAAGUUGGACAAAGGUGAUCUAUAGUACAUGUGGCCCCUUAUACAACAGGCUGCAUCUCAAUAUCUUGAUAGCCUUAAACUAUUUCACAGGUAGUCCUGUAAGUCUGCCAUACAUGAUUCUCCAAACUGGCAUCUUUUAUAAACUUUGUUGGUUCCUUAUUUUUCAACCAUUUGCAAAGUUAAGUCACUCAAUCACCUAUGCAAACCAUAAUUAAUUCCUUUGACAUUAAUAGUCCGGUGACUUCUCUCUCCUGUUACCCCAAAGAGACUGCUAAUUGCCCUCCAAUUGUUUACCUUUGUAUUGUUUUAUGAGAGCUCAGAGAAAGAUGGAAGAUACUCUCCACCAGGCCAGAAACAAAUGCCAGACAGGUUUUGAAAAGGCUGAACACAUGCUAUGACUACACCUUGUUAGUAGAAGGGCUUUGCUUUCUUUGUUUUGUUUUCUUUUUUUAUGGAAGGGAUGACGCCUCCAUAAUUAUAGGUGCUGCUGUUUAAAACCCAGAGUGUUUUCCAAACCACUGAGGGGCCACACCUCCAGCAGCCCAUGAGCCAUCCUGGCUGGAUUAUCUUUCCAGUUCUCUAAACAGUUCAUCAAGCAGUACUAGAUUUACAUUAAGCAUAACGAGAGUAAGGGACCCCAUCCAAGUAUGGUUUCUUUCUGAAUAAACAUGAAGGACUCACAGGUAAACCUCACAGCUGAAGGUUAAUUUGUAUCUGUGAAGUUCUCAGAAAGACUGUAGUAAAGGCCCCUCACCCACCUAACAAGACAGCAGGUUACUUUUGUAACACCCCCCCAA